UUUGGAAGAAGGUUGAUCCUGGCUCAGGACGAACGCUGGCGGCGUGCCUAAUACAUGCAAGUCGAGCGAACAGAAAAGGAGCUUGCUCCUUUGACGUUAGCGGCGGACGGGUGAGUAACACGUGGGCAACCUACCCUAUAGUUUGGGAUAACUCCGGGAAACCGGGGCUAAUACCGAAUAAUCUCUUUUACUUCAUGGUGAAAGACUGAAAGACGGCUUCUCGCUGUCGCUAUAGGAUGGGCCCGCGGCGCAUUAGCUAGUUGGUGAGGUAACGGCUCACCAAGGCCGACGAUGCGUAGCCGACCUGAGAGGGUGAUCGGCCACACUGGGACUGAGACACGGCCCAGACUCCUACGGGAGGCAGCAGUAGGGAAUCUUCCACAAUGGGCGAAAGCCUGAUGGAGCAACGCCGCGUGAGUGAAGAAGGUUUUCGGAUCGUAAAACUCUGUUGUAAGGGAAGAACAAGUACAGUAGUAACUGGCUGUACCUUGACGGUACCUUAUUAGAAAGCCACGGCUCGCCGCU
rnacentral:rRNA from 1 species